GACGAACGCUGGCGGCGUGCUUAACACAUGCAAGUCGAACGAUGAAGCUGGAGCUUGCUCCGGUGGAUUAGUGGCGAACGGGUGAGUAACACGUGAGAAAUCUGCCCUUGCCUCUGGGAUAACUGCGGGAAACUGUAGCUAAUACCGGAUAUUUUCCUUGGUGGGCAUCCACGGGGGAAGAAAGAAUUUCGGUCAAGGAGGGUCUCGCGGCCCAUCAGCUAGUUGGUGAGGUAAUGGCUCACCACGGCGACGACGGGUAGCCGGCCUGAGGGGGUGACCGGCCACACUGGGACUGAGACACGGCCCAGACUCCUACGGGAGGCAGCAGUGGGGAAUAUUGCACAAUGGGCGCAAGCCUGAUGCAGCAACGCCGCGUGAGGGAUGAAGGCCUUCGGGUUGUAAACCUCUUUUAGCAGGGAAGAAGCGAAAGUGACGGUACCUGCAGAAAAAGCACCGGCUAACUACGUGCCAGCCGCCGCCGUAA
rnacentral:rRNA from 1 species